CCUGGUUGAUCCUGCCAGUAGUCAUAUGCUUGUCUCAAAGAUUAAGCCAUGCAUGUCUAAGUACAUACUGUUUAUAAAGUGAAACCGCGAAUGGCUCAUUAAAUCAGUUACGGUUCCUCGGAUAUUCUUUUUUACAUGGAUAACUGUGGUAAUUCUAGAGCUAAUACAUGAACAAGUGUUCCAACCACGGCUUGCCGUUGGAAGGAUCGCAUUUAUUAGUACAAGACCAAUGACUCUUAUUCACCUGGAACCCUGUUCAGUGAUUUCGGUCGCUGUCUAAGGACCAGCAGUGGGGGUCUAAGCACUUUCGAGUGCAUUUCUUGUGAUGACUCUGAAUAACUGAGCAAAUCGUAUGGCCUCUGAGCCGACGAUGUAUCCCUCAAGCAACUGCCUUAUCAACUGUCGAUGGUAGGUUAUGCGCCUACCAUGGUUGUAACGGGUAACGGGGAAUUAGGGUUCGAUUCCGGAGAGGGAGCCUGAGAAACGGCUACCACAUCCAAGGAAGGCAGCAGGCGCGCAAAUUACACAAUCCCAGUACGGGGAUGUAGUGACGAAAAAUAACAAUACGGGACUCUAUUGAGGCCCCGUAAUUGGAAUGAGUACAAUUUAAAUCCUUUAACGAGGAUCUAUUGGAGGGCAAGUCUGGUGCCAGCAGCCGCGGUAAUUCCAGCUCCAAUAGCGUAUAUUAAAGUUGCUGCGGUUAAAAAGCUCGUAGUUGGAUUUCAGUCAAACCUAUGGGGUCCACUGAUUAAAGGGUUAGAUGGUAAUGUUAGGUUUCUUGCUUGUGACUACGGUUACUUGCUUGAAUCUUUCUUCCUCUUUCCUGGUGGUUACAUUCAUAGUGUUUAGACAGAAAAUUGCUCGAUAUUUGCUAUCAAUGCUCUUUACCGAGUGUUGAUUCAAGCGAUCGAGACUUUUACCUUGAAAAAAUCAGAGUGCUCAAAGCAGGCGUCCAAAACCUUGAAAGAGGUGCCUAAAAACGGUAUGGUCAACCAUCUAUAUGAUGUGUACCAUUUACCUUAACUUGAAUGAUCUUGCAUGGAAUAAUGGAAUAGGACCUUGGUUCUAUUUUGUUGGUCUUAAGAAUCCAAGGUAAUGAUUAAGAGGGACAGACGGGGGCAUUUGUAUUGCGGCGCUAGAGGUGAAAUUCUUGGACCGUCGCAAGACAAACUACAGCGAAAGCAUUUGCCAAGAAUGUUUUCAUUAAUCAAGAACGAAAGUUAGAGGUUCGAAGGCGAUCAGAUACCGCCCUAGUUCUAACCAUAAACGAUGCCAACCAGCGAUCAUUC
rnacentral:rRNA from 1 species